AAACUUUUUAAAGCACAGACUGAAUCUUUUUAACACAUAGGCUGAGUCUUUGAUAUGUUGACUCCCUUAAAAGCUUAGACCAGGGAGAACAGAAGCAACCAGUGGCACAACUAUAUACAAAUAAUGUCAAAGGACAUAAAUUAUGGUGAUGUUGUGUAUGAUACAGUAAAUCCUAACAGGGAUAUUUCAAAGUUAACCCAAUUACCAUAUAAUGUGAUUAUAGCAAUAACUAUCUAUUAUCUUCUUAAACCCUAAGACAACAGGAACCUCCCACUUCCUCUAUAGAGACUAUAUUUCCCCCAGUCCUGGAACCUUUAGUGUGGGACUCACUUUCCUGCAUGCUUCUCUCAGUUCAUACCAAAUGAUAUUGCAUCUGCCAGUCCCAACCUAAUCAAUGCUACGAGUACCACCUCAGCAUGCUUCACUUCAGACUGUGUCCAGAGACAUCAGGCGUCUAAUGACAACCCUUCACCCUCAUUACUCAGAGUUACAGAAAUGCAUGUUGGCACUUUGGAGAUACUAAAAGAACAUGCUGGGGAGUGUUUCUACCAGGCCCUAGCCUGAAGGCUUUGUUCACCUUGCCAGAGAACUGUGUGCCUCUUGUAGGACCUGCCAGAGGAAAUUGGAACUCCACGUGGAAGGAUCUCAGCUGUGAACCUUAGAAUGUCUGUGACCCUACACAAUAUAUAAAUUCUCAGGCCCCAUGUCUGACCUACUGAAUAUGAAAUUCUGGUGUGGGGAUCAGCACUUUGUUCUCACAAGUCCUUCUGUUGAAGCUUGACAACCUGAACCAGUGUUCAAAACUCAGAUGAUUAGAAAUCACCUGAGCAUUAAGUGCCUGAGAACAGAUGGUUUGCAUUGAGAAAACAUGCUUCACUGGAACUUUAGAAUAUAAUCUGACAAUACAGGAAGACCUAUGCUGAAGGGCUUCAGGAGCCUAAACAGGCUGGCUGAUGUGAGUUCAAAUGCUCAUUUAACUAGCUUACCCCUUGGUCUGUGGGUAAGUGAUAUAAACAUUUCCAAAAAUGCCCCAUUUUUACCAUAGGAAUCUUCUGUUCUGGAUGUUUGGCCUCCCAGAAAUGUAUGUGCUGAAUCCUUAACCCCCAGUAGGGUGAUAUUAAGAAGUGGUCUCUGGGGGGGGGGCAGUAGUGCAGCAGGUUAAGUGCACAUGGUGCAAGGACCAGCUAAGGAUCCAGUUCGAGCUCCUGGCUCCCCACCUGCAAGGGGGAUGCUUCAUGGGUGGUGAAGCAGGUCUGCAGGCAUAUUUCUUUCUCUCCCCCAACCUGUCUCUCCUCUUCUCUCAAUUUCUCUCUGUCCUAUCCAAUAACAACAAUGAUAAAUGACAAGGGCAAUAAAAGGGGAAAAAAUAGCCUAUAGGAGCAGUGGAUUUGUAGUGCAGGCAUGGAGCCCCAGCAAUAACCCUGGAGGCAAACAAAAAUAUGAAGCAGGUCUGCAAGUGUCUAUCUUUCUCUCCCCAUCUCCAUCUUCCCUUUUUCUCCCCAUUUCUCUCUGUCCUAUCCAACAAUGAUGACAUCAAUAACAACAAUAAUAACUACAAUAAAACAAGGGCAACAAAAGGGAAUAAAUAAAUAAAUAUAAAAAAUUUUAAAACGUCUCUGGGAUACGACUAGGUGAGAUCAUGAAGGCAGAGCUCCUGUGAUAGGAUUAGUGCCUCACUGAAGGAAGCCCUACUCUCUGCUCCCCAACCCCACUUCCACCCCAGCAAUGUCUCUAAGUGAGAAAGAGGGUCCUGACUGGUGCUGGUCCCUGGUGCUGGAUGCCAGUCUCUGGAAUGUUGAUAAAAUCAAGUCUUGUUGGUUAAGUCA